UACGUAGGGGGCAAGCGUUGUCCGGAAUCCUUGGGCGUAAAGCGCGUGUAGGCGGUCCGGUAAGUCCGCUGUGAAAGUCGGGGGCUCAACCCUCGGAUGCCGGUGGAUACUGUCGGGCUUGAGUACGGAAGAGGCGAGUGGAAUUCCCGGUGUAGCGGUGAAAUGCGUAGAGAUCAGGAGGAACACCAAUGGCGAAGGCAGAUCUCUGGGCCGUAACUGACGCUGAGGAGCGAAAGCAUGGGGAGCGAACAGG
rnacentral:rRNA from 1 species